GACGAACGCUGGCGGCGUGCUUAACACAUGCAAGUCGAACGGAAAGACCCUGCUUUUGUGGGGUGCUCGAGUGGCGAACGGGUGAGUAACACGUGAGUAACCUGCCCUUGACUUUGGGAUAACUUCAGGAAACUGGGGCUAAUACCGGAUAGGAGCUCCUGCUGCAUGGUGGGGGUUGGAAAGUUUCGGCGGGUGGGGAUGGACUCGCGGCUUAUCAGCUUGUUGGUGGGGUAGUGGCUUACCCAGGCUUUGACGGGUCGCCGGCCUGAGAGGGUGGCCGGCCACAUUGGGACUGAGAGACGGCGCAGACUCCUACGGGAGGCAGCAGUGGGGAGUAUUGCACAAUGGGCGGAAGCCUGAUGCAGCAACGCCGCGUGCGGGAUGACGGCCUUCGGGUUGUAAACCGCUUUCGCCUGUGACGAAGCGUGAGUGACGGUAAUGGGUAAAGAAGCACCGGCUAACUACGUG
rnacentral:rRNA from 1 species